rnacentral:tRNA from 1 species
GCAUCCAUUGUCUAAUGGAUAUGAUAAAGGUAUUCUAAACCUUUAGUAUAGGUUCAAAUCCUAUUGGAAAUA